rnacentral:tmRNA from 1 species
GGGGAUGUACUGGUUUUGACGGUAAAUGAUGUCGGGCGGUAAGCAUGCCGAGCGUCGUAGCCCCGCUCGUAAAUCUCAGACUACAAGCCAUAACUGGCAACUACAACUAUGCACUCGCUGCCUAAUUUGCCAAGCAGAUUAGCUUAAUCGCGCGGACCAGGUCCGUAGCGACGAGUAUCCCGCCGGGGUUUCUAGCCUUCCCCUUCCCACCGCGGUAUAUGGGGUAUCAUCCAGGAAGGAUGCGGGCGCCGACGCUUCUACCGCGCCUUAAGAUGCAGAAGCUAAGAGGCCGAUGGCCCGCCUACCGGCAGCCGGCCCCCGACAACCAAAGGCAGGAUAAGCAUGUAGAAAGCCACUUGGCGCUUUAUUCGGACGGCGGUUCGACUCCGCCCAUCUCCACA